AGGAGAAUCGAGAGGCGUUGCAUCGCUCCUAGAAAUUUGAUGGAAUAACAUCGAACAUAUCACAGCCCCGUGUAGUGGCGCUGCCCUUGAUCGUGUGUCUAACGGAAAUGCACGCGUCUGUCGGACAAACGGAGUGUUUCUUCACUUUCGGCAGUCGCAACGUUCCGAAAAAUAUUUCGGACUGAUCAACCGCGUUUCGUACGUCGUAGAGGAUUGUCGAAGGUGCGAGAACAAUCGCCGGUUAUUAUCUUCUGUGAUUCGGGGCUGCGGAUGGUGAAUCUCAGCGACAACACAAAAUGGCCGACUGCAGCUGCGGCGUACUUCACUCACAACAAGACGCCAAACCGAAGAGAACGCGAUACGACGCAAUAACGUGAACAAGGGGACACGUUCAGCGAUUAAUUGUGGCACCAGUUCCGAGAUUCCGAGCUUCGAAACGCCACAGAAACGAGGCUCUGGAUGCUGAGCUGCGAUGUAUCAAUUUUAACGUGGGAAUUUUCACCGUUGAGGC